rnacentral:tRNA from 4 species
AUUUAAAUAGUUUAAAUAAAAUAUUGAUUUGUGGUGUCAAUGAUAUGAAAUUUUCAUUUUAGAUC